rnacentral:ncRNA from 21 species
UUCCAUAAAUAGGGGAGCUUAUUGAUAGGCUGAGAGGAAGUUGUGAACUUCGACCCAUGAACCUGAUUUGGAUAAUGCCAACGUAGGGACCCAUGAAGCAGCUUAUAU